rnacentral:rRNA from 1 species
GACGAACGCUGGCGGCGUGCUUAACACAUGCAAGUCGAACGAAGAGCGAUGGAAGCUUGCUUCUAUCAAUCUUAGUGGCGCACGGGUGAGUAACGCGUAAUCAACCUGCCCUUCAGAGGGGGACAACAGUUGGAAACGACUGCUAAUACCGCAUACGAUCUAAUCUCGGCAUCGAGGAUAGAUGAAAGGUGGUCUCUACAUGUAAGCUAUCAUUGAAGCAGGGGUUUGCAACUGAUUAGGUAGUUGGAGGGGGAAGGGCCGAACAAGGGGAGGAUCAGUAGCAGGACCGGUAGGGUUGACCGCCAAUUGGGGCUUGAGAAAAGGCUCAGACUACUGCCGGAAGGAGCAGUGGGGAAUCUUUCGUAAAAGACGAAAGUCUUACGGAGCAACCCCGCGUGGGUGAUUACAGCCAUCGGGUUGUAAAGCUUAGUUAAUCGGGGAGAAAGGCCUUCUUGCGAAUAGAGAGAAGGAUUGACGGUACCGGAACAGAAAGCCACGGCUAACUACGUG